CGCGUAGGCGGUCGGUCAAGUCGGUUGUGAAAGCCCUCGGCUCAACCGAGGAAUUGCAUCCGAUAACUGGUCGGCUAGAGUAUGGAAGGGGAGAGUGGAACUCCUGGUGGAGCGGUGAAAUGCGUAGAUAUCAGGAGGAACGCCGGUGGCGAAAGCGACUCUCUGGUCCACAACUGACGCUGAGGCGCGAAAGCCAGGGGAGCAAACG
rnacentral:rRNA from 1 species